rnacentral:lncRNA from 1 species
CGGGGGCCCGCGUCCCCAGGACGGCGGCACAAACUUUCCCGGCUGUUCGGGGAUACUUGUGGGGAGAGUCCCGCACUUGGAGGGAGGAGGAGCCGGAUCCGCGGACAGAUCUUGGAAGUCGUCUUCUGGGAGUUUCCAGCAGUGCCGAGUGUUGGAGAAAUCUUUUCUGUCCCUUGGAUACAGUGAAGAGAACAAAUACAGCUCAGCAGUAGGCUACUGAAGACAGCAAUCGUAGGUUUCAGAAGAUGACAGUGAAAUGUGAAGAAGUUACGUUUCUUACGUGAUACUUGAAAGUUAGUGAUUGCUUGCCAAAUUUUCCCGAUAAUGAAAUAUGACUUAGAA